CGGCGAGUGAAGCGGCAAUAGCUCAAAUUUGAAAGCUGGCGUCUUCGACGUCCGCGUUGUAAUUUGUAGAGGAUGCUUCGGCGAGGACUCCUGCCUAAGUCCCCUGGAACGGGGCGUCACAGAGGGUGAGAAUCCCGUAUGUGGCGGGCGGUCCAAGCCAUGUGAAGCUCCUUCGACGAGUCGAGUUGUUUGGGAAUGCAGCUCUAAAUGGGAGGUAAAUUUCUUCUAAAGCUAAAUAUUGGCCAGAGACCGAUAGCGCACAAGUAGAGUGAUCGAAAGAUGAAAAGCACUUUGGAAAGAGAGUUAAAAAGUACGUGAAAUUGUUGAAAGGGAAGCGCUUGCAACCAGACUCGCUCGCAGUUGCUCAGCCGGCCUCUUGGCCGGUGUACUCUUCUGCGAUCGGGCCAGCAUCAGUUCGGGCGGCCGGAUAAAGGUGUCGGGAAUGUAGCACCCUUCGGGGUGUGUUAUAGCCCGGCGCGGAAUGCGGCCAGCCUGGACUGAGGAUCUCGCUUCGGCAAGGAUGCUGGCGUAAUGGUUGUAAGCGGCCCGUCUUGAAACACGGACCAAGGAGUCUAACAUCUAUGCGAGUGUUUGGGUGUCAAACCCAUGCGCGUAAUGAAAGUGAACGGAGGUGGGAACCCCUCGCGGGGUGCACCAUCGACCGAUCCUGAUGUCUUCGGAUGGAUUUGAGUAAGAGCAUAGCUGUUGGGACCCGAAAGAUGGUGAACUAUGCCUGAAUAGGGUGAAGCCAGAGGAAACUCUGGUGGAGGCUCGCAGCGGUUCUGACGUGCAAAUCGAUCGUCAAAUUUGGGUAUAGGGGCGAAAG
rnacentral:rRNA from 1 species